UGGGUUUAGAAGAUGAAAAUUCAGGACUAAAAAUAAUUGGAAUAUAAGGAAAAUCCAGUCUAUUGUCAACUCAUUCACAACAACUUUACAUGGAAAUUUAAGAUAAUUUUAUGAUCUUUACUUUCCGGGAACAAAGUUUGUGGCGAAGGCCCAGGCGUUGUUGUUUACUGGGUCUGCAAGGUGAUCAGCAAGGUUCUCCAAUGGACCUUUUCCGGUAACAAUGGCCUGAACAAAGAAUCCAAACAUAGAGAACAUAGCAAGUCUGCCGUUCUUAAUCUCCU